UCUGGUCUUGGGACACUGUCAGGUGGGCAGUUUGACUGGGGCGGUCGCCUCCCAAAAGGUAACGGAGGCGCUCAAAGGUUCUCUCAGUACGGUCGGAAAUCGUACGUAGAGUGUAAAGGCAAACGAGAGCUUGAUUGCAAGACAUACAGGUCGAGCAAGGAUGAAAAUCGGACUUAGUGAUCCGGUGGUUCUGCGUGGAAGGGCCAUCGCUCAACGGAUAAAAGCUACCCUGGGGAUAACAGGCUUAUCUCCCCCAAGAGUCCACAUCGACGGGGAGGUUUGGCACCUCGAUGUCGGCUCAUCACAUCCUGGGGCUGUAGUAGGUCCCAAGGGUUGGGCUGUUCGCCCAUUAAAGUGGUACGCGAGCUGGGUUCAGAACGUCGUGAGACAGUUCGGUCCCUAUCCGUCGCAGGCGUAGGAAAUUUGAGAAGACCUGUCCUUAGUACGAGAGGACCGGGAUGGACGUACCUCUGGUGUACCAGUUGUCCUGCCAAGGGCAUGGCUGGGUAGCUAUGUACGGAAUGGAUAAGCGCUGAAAGCAUCUAAGCGCGAAGCCAACUUCAAGAUAAGAUUUCCCACCGCAAGGGUAAGACCCCAGAAAGACUAUCUGGUUGAUAGGUCGAAGGUGUAAGUUCAGCAAUGUAUUUAGCUUAUCGAUACUAAUAGGUCGAGGACUUGACCAAUAUU
rnacentral:rRNA from 1 species